rnacentral:rRNA from 1 species
AGUGAACGCUGGCGGUAGGCCUAACACAUGCAAGUCGAACGGCAGCACAGUAAGAGCUUGCUCUUACGGGUGGCGAGUGGCGGACGGGUGAGGAAUACAUCGGAAUCUACUUUUUCGUGGGGGAUAACGUAGGGAACUUACGCUAAUACCGCAUACGACCUACGGGUGAAAGCAGGGGAUCUUCGGACCUUGCGCGAUUGAAUGAGCCGAUGUCGGAUUAGCUAGUUGGCGGGGUAAAGGCCCACCAAGGCGACGAUCCGUAGCUGGUCUGAGAGGAUGAUCAGCCACACUGGAACUGAGACACGGUCCAGACUCCUACGGGAGGCAGCAGUGGGGAAUAUUGGACAAUGGGCGCAAGCCUGAUCCAGCCAUACCGCGUGGGUGAAGAAGGCCUUCGGGUUGUAAAGCCCUUUUGUUGGGAAAGAAAAGCAGCAGGUUAAUACCCCGCUGUUCUGACGGUACCCAAAGAAUAAGCACCGGCUAACUUCGUG